rnacentral:rRNA from 1 species
GACGAACGCUGGCGGCGUGCUUAACACAUGCAAGUCGAACGGAAAGGCCCUGCUUUUGUGGGGUGCUCGAGUGGCGAACGGGUGAGUAACACGUGAGUAACCUGCCCUUGACUUUGGGAUAACUUCAGGAAACUGGGGCUAAUACCGGAUAGGAGCUCCUGCUGCAUGGUGGGGGUUGGAAAGUUUCGGCGGUUGGGGAUGGACUCGCGGCUUAUCAGCUUGUUGGUGGGGUAGUGGCUUACCAAGGCUUUGACGGGUAGCCGGCCUGAGAGGGUGACCGGCCACAUUGGGACUGAGAUACGGCCCAGACGCCUAAGGGAGGCAGAAGUGGGGAAUAUUGCACAAUGGGCGGAAGCCUGAUGCAGCAACGCCGCGUGCGGGAUGACGGCCUUCGGGUUGUAAACCGCUUUCGCCUGUGACGAAGCGUGAGUGAAGGUAAUGGGUAAAGAAGCACCGGCUAACUACGUG